AGGCAAAUCCGGUACUCGUUAAGGCUGAGCUGUGAUGGGGAGAAGACAUUGUGUCUUCGAGUCGUUGAUUUCACACUGCCGAGAAAAGCCUCUAGAUAGAAAAUAGGUGCCCGUACCGCAAACCGACACAGGUAGUCAAGAUGAGAAUUCUAAGGUGAGCGAGCGAACUCUCGUUAAGGAACUCGGCAAAAUGACCCCGUAACUUCGGGAGAAGGGGUGCUCUUUAGGGUUAACGCCCAGAAGAGCCGCAGUGAAUAGGCCCAAGCGACUGUUUAUCAAAAACACAGGUCUCUGCUAAACCGUAAGGUGAUGUAUAGGGGCUGACGCCUGCCCGGUGCUGGAAGGUUAAGAGGAGUGGUUAGCUUCUGCGAAGCUACGAAUCGAAGCCCCAGUAAACGGCGGCCGUAACUAUAACGGUCCUAAGGUAGCGAAAUUCCUUGUCGGGUAAGUUCCGACCCGCACGAAAGGCGUAACGAUUUGGGCACUGUCUCAACGAGAGACUCGGUGAAAUCAUAGUACCUGUGAAGAUGCAGGUUACCCGCGACAGGACGGAAAGACCCCGUGGAGCUUUACUGUAGCCUGAUAUUGAAAUUCGGCACAGCUUGUACAGGAUAGGUAGGAGCCUUUGAAACGUGAGCGCUAGCUUACGUGGAGGCGCUGGUGGGAUACUACCCUAGCUGUGUUGGCUUUCUAACCCGCACCACUUAUCGUGGUGGGAGACAGUGUCAGGCGGGCAGUUUGACUGGGGCGGUCGC
rnacentral:rRNA from 1 species